UUGACCACAUGCACUAAGAGAGGGAGCUGUGGAGGCCCAUUUGGGCUCCUGGCCCCCCAACAGCCCUGCUUUCAUUAGGUGACCACCUACCAGGGGUCAGUCUAGCCCCUGAGUUGGGUGCUGCAGCUACAGAAAAGGGGCACCAUUGUCUCUGCAGUGGAGGAGCUCAAUUCUCCCUGCAAGUUCAGUCCCAUUUCUGCAGAAGUGUCGACUCCUG
rnacentral:lncRNA from 1 species